GAUGAACGCUGGCGGCGUGCCUAAUACAUGCAAGUCGAGCGAACGGACGAGAAGCUUGCUUCUCUGAUGUUAGCGGCGGACGGGUGAGUAACACGUGGAUAACCUACCUAUAAGACUGGGAUAACUUCGGGAAACCGGAGCUAAUACCGGAUGAUAUUUUGAACCGCAUGGUUCAAAAGUGAAAGACGGUCUUGCUGUCACUUAUAGAUGGAUCCGCGCUGCAUUAGCUAGUUGGUAAGGUAACGGCUUACCAAGGCAACGAUGCAUAGCCGACCUGAGAGGGUGAUCGGCCGCCCUGGAACUGAGACACGGUCCAGACUCCUACGGGAGGCAGCAGUAGGGAAUCUUCCGCAAUGGGCGAAAGCCUGACGGAGCAACGCCGCGUGAGUGAUGAAGGUCUUCGGAUCGUAAAACUCUGUUAUUAGGGAAGAACAUAUGUGUAAGUAACUGUGCACAUCUUGACGGUACCUAAUCAGAAAGCCACGGCUAACUACGUG
rnacentral:rRNA from 1 species